rnacentral:rRNA from 1 species
UACGUAGGGUGCAAGCGUUAAUCGGAAUUACUGGGCGUAAAGCGUGCGCAGGUGGUUUUGUAAGUCUGAUGUGAAAUCCCCGGGCUCAACCUGGGAAUUGCAUUGGAGACUGCAAGGCUAGAAUCUGGCAGAGGGGGGUAGAAUUCCACGUGUAGCAGUGAAAUGCGUAGAGAUGUGGAGGAACACCGAUGGCGAAGGCAGCCCCCUGGGUCAAGAUUGACGCUCAUGCACGAAAGCGUGGGGAGCAAACAGG